GCAUUGUUGAGAGCUGUUGAGAAUUGUGUCGCAAUUGUCACAUCUCGGGGACCAUGAAAUCCGUCACGAACUUGUUCCAAGCGUCCUUGUUCACUCACCCAAGGCGCAACUAUUUUAUGCACCCUACGGCGAUCAAGCAGAGUUCAGCAAGCAUGCGAUAGCUCUAUAAGAGCACUGACUGGUAUACAGUGCAUUAAUUUUCAUUAUAGUUUUCUUGAGAACUAUAUUAACUUUAGUUUAUUAUAAUAUCAUUUGAGGUCCUUGAUGAUAAAUCCCUUUUGAGCAGAUUAUACACCUUGUGAAACAUGCAGUUUGCCACACUGCUGAAACUUGCAUAAUUAUGCCGAAGCAAAUACAGGUGAACGAUCAUUGUUGGUGUUGCAGUUUUCUUCACAGGAGCGCAGACUGCACGUGAAUUGCUUUUCUCCAAUGAGUCCCUGAGGGAAAAGAUCGUCCGCAGUUUGGCUUAACGACACAUCUCCCGCGUCGUUUUCACCAUCUUUCACAGCAAGGCGACGUAACACAGUUCGUCUUAUUCCCUUCAUGGUCCCUUCGAGCGACUUGCAGGAGUGAACAUGGCAGUUUGACUAUACAAGGGUGAGUGUGUGUUCGCGUCGACAACGCUCAGAAAUGAAACAGUGUCUCAAAACCAGCUGUCGGCACUGCGCGACGCGAGGGAGGUCAGCCAGCAGUGUGAGGGGGCAGGGCAAGGGUAAAAACAUGCCGAAAACGUGUUGGGUACAGAGAGAGUUUUUGUUCCAAGUCACACAGUUUGAUCGGUGAUAAUUCUCUCGCUGUCGUUGCGCUGCCCCAUGAGCGUUCCCUUUUAUGCCAGGCGAGCAGUGUUCCGCCAGGCAGCGUUGACAACCGCUACAAGUGUUACAAAAAUAGCUUUCUCCGGAGUGUUUCUGUUGACACGAUGGCUGGCGGAGCACUGCCCCAAGGAUGAUCACGUCCGUCUGACGUAAUCGUUGAAAAGAAAACACA